rnacentral:rRNA from 1 species
AGCUCCAAUAGCGUAUCUUAAAGUUGCUGCAGUUAAAAAGCUCGUAGUUGCAUUUCCGAGGCAAGGGAUUAGUCCGACCUUUGGUGGGUAUUUAAUCCUCUUGCCUCGUCCUUGAGUGGUGCUUCUUGGUAUUAAGUUAUCGAGGAGAUAGCCGCUCAUCGUUUACUGUGAGAAAAUUAGAGUGUUCAAAGCAGGCUUAUGCCGUUGAAUAUAUUAGCAUGGAAUAAUAAGAUAGGACCUCGGUACUAUUUUGUUGGUUUGAGAACCAAGGUAAUGAUGAAUAGGGACAGUUGGGAGUAUUCGUAUUCAGUUGUCAGAGGUGAAAUUCUUAGAUUUACGGAAGACGAACUACUGCGAAAGCAUUUACCAAGGAUGUUUUCA